UGGGGAAUUUUGGACAAUGGGCGAAAGCCUGAUCCAGCAAUGCCGCGUGUGUGAAGAAGGCCUUCGGGUUGUAAAGCACUUUUGUCCGGAAAGAAAUCCUUGGCUCUAAUACAGUCGGGGGAUGACGGUACCGGAAGAAUAAGCACCGGCUAACUACGUGCCAGCAGCCGCGGUAAUACGUAGGGUGCAAGCGUUAAUCGGAAUUACUGGGCGUAAAGCGUGCGCAGGCGGUUUGCUAAGACCGAUGUGAAAUCCCCGGGCUCAACCUGGGAACUGCAUUGGUGACUGGCAGGCUAGAGUAUGGCAGAGGGGGGUUAGAAUUCCACGUGUAGCAGUGAAAUGCGUAGAGAUGUGGAGGAAUACCGAUGGCGAAGGCAGCCCCCUGGGCCAAUACUGACGCUCAUGCACGAAAGCGUGGGGAGCAAACAGGAUUAGAUACCCUGGUAGUCCACGCCCUAAACGAUGUC
rnacentral:rRNA from 1 species